GACGGAGGAUGCAAGUGUUAUCCGGAAUCACUGGGCGUAAAGCGUCUGUAGGUGGUUCGAAAAGUCCACUGUUAAAAAAUUGAGGCUUAACUUCAAAGAUGCCGUGGAAACUUUCAAACUAGAGUAUGGUAGGGGUAGAGGGAAUUCCAUGUGGAGCGGUGAAAUGCGUAGAUAUUGGAAAGACCACCGAUGGCGAAGGCACUCUACUGGGCCACUACUGACACUGAGAGACGAAAGCUAGGGGAGCAAAUGGG
rnacentral:rRNA from 1 species